GCGUAUACAACCUACCUUUUGGAGGGGAAUAGCCCAGGGAAACUUGGAUUAAUGCCCCAUAGUAUAACAUUCUCACCUGAGAUUGUUAUUAAACAUUUAUGGCCAUUAGAUGGGUAUGCGUCCUAUUAGCUAGAUGGUAAGGUAACGGCUUACCAUGGCUACGAUAGGUAGGGGUCCUGAGAGGGAGAUCCCCCACACUGGUACUGAGACACGGACCAGACUCCUACGGGAGGCAGCAGUGAGGAAUAUUGGACAAUGGGCGAGAGCCUGAUCCAGCCAUGCCGCGUGCAGGAAGACUGCCCUAUGGGUUGUAAACUGCUUUUAUACGGGAAGAACCGCACCUACGUGUAGGUGUUUGACGGUACCGUAAGAAUAAGGAUCGGCUAACUCCGU
rnacentral:rRNA from 1 species